UACGAAGGGGGCUAGCGUUGUUCGGAAUCACUGGGCGUAAAGGGUGCGUAGGCGGGUCUUUAAGUCAGGGGUGAAAUCCUGGAGCUCAACUCCAGAACUGCCUUUGAUACUGAGGAUCUUGAGUUCGGGAGAGGUGAGUGGAACUGCGAGUGUAGAGGUGAAAUGCGUAGAUAUCUGGAGGAACACCGGUGGCGAAGGCGGCAUCCUGGACCAAUUCUGACGCUGAGGAGCGAAAGCCAGGGGAGCAAACGGG
rnacentral:rRNA from 1 species